UAGGGAAUCUUCCGCAAUGGACGAAAGUCUGACGGAGCAACGCCGCGUGAGUGAAGAAGGAUUUCGGUUCGUAAAACUCUGUUGUUAGGGAAGAAAAAAUGUAUAGUAACUAUAUACAAAAGAGACGGUACCUAACCAGAAAGCCACGGCUAACUACGUGCCAGCAGCCGCGGUAAUACGUAGGUGGCAAGCGUUGUCCGGAAUUAUUGGGCGUAAAGCGCGCGCAGGUGGUUUAGAAAGUCUGAUGUGAAAGCCCACGGCUCAACCGUGGAGGGUCAAUGGAAACUAAAAAACUUGAGUGCAGGAGAGAAAAGUGGAAUUCCUAGGGUAGCGGGGAAAUGCGUAGAGAUUAGGAGGAACAACGGUGGCGAAAGCGGCUUUUUGGCCUGCAAAUGACACUGAGGGGCGAAAGCGUGGGGAGCAAACAGG
rnacentral:rRNA from 1 species